GUAGGUGAACUGCGGAAGGAUCAUUA
rnacentral:rRNA from 8 species